UUAAGGUAGAGACGGAUAGCAACCACGUGAUCAGUAAAAAUCGUGUAUAUUCACGUGAAUUUAUUUUCCGGAAUUCCGUACACCGUCAUAGAGUAGUUGAAAAAUAUAAAGGGGUUCCGAAAGUACAAGUUGUUGAUGUGACUGACUCGAUGAUUGAGGGGGUCGUCUCGACGAAAGAUAGACCAUAGUUUAGAUUAGGAAUACGUCAAUGUAAUAAUAGUGGACCAAAUGUUUCGUCCGUGCAGAAUGGCACUUUUUACCUCACGACCAUGCAUAGCUGCGCUACGUAAACAAUUUUACAAAGUUGUUGAUGUAGCGUGAUCGUGAUGUCCGACUCCGAGUGCUGCGAGUUUCAAUACUGUUUAUGUAGUCAUUGAGAGUUUAAACAAAGUUUCUUCUGAGAAGAGGGAUUCGAUGGAUGCAUUCAACGUGGACAACGAGGUUAUAAUUUCUUUGUGUCAUCCUAAGGACCAGUGCAAGUUGAAAUGGGCUUCGAGUCAACAACUUCAACAGCAAUUUGCCUUGAAAAUCAGCAAGAAAAGUACUUCAUUUACAUUGAUGAUGUCAUAUCCCCUGGACCCCACAACUUUACAGGUUACAGAGAAAAUUCAAGAACUUCUGCACAAUGUGGGACUUGGAUAGAAUCAAUAAUGUAUUUGUGAGCCCAGAUAUAUUGUGCAACAUACUAAAGUGUGAAUUUAAUUGAAAACAAGUACAUGUACUCAUGUAUACUAUUAUAUGUCUUUCUUAAAGACAAUAAUAUUGCAUAAAUGUAGAUGAAGUGUCAUUGUUGAUUAUUCUAAGUUUUUGAUAUAUCAAAAUCAGUAAACAUUUCUAAAUGAAAAUAAAAUACCAAUUUUAUAACUUUUAA